AGUCAUUGCUAAGGACUCUAUCAAGGACACUGAGAUGGAAAUGCCGGGAGAGCCAGCUGCAAAUCUUGGGCAGACCCUGGAGUGGCUGAGGGAGAAGCUGUGCUAAACCUGAACCCCAGGUCAGCUUCUCCUCUCUCCUCUCCUGCACACAUAUUUGGGGGUGCCUCUUUAUUUUGGGACCUGGAGAAAAUACCACAGGGAAUGGCAUGGUGAUUGGCUUCCCAGGCCGAGAUGCAGAUCCAAGACCAGCAGCUGCUGCUCACACUGAGGCAUCUGCACAGCCUCCUGGAGGAGCUUCGAGCUGAAAGCACCCACUGGGAGGACACAAGGCCCAGCAGAAGUACAUCACCUUUCCGAGAGAGGCUGGGAUCAGAGGGAAGAGCCUG
rnacentral:lncRNA from 1 species